UACGUAGGGUGCGAGCGUUGUCCGGAAUUAUUGGGCGUAAAGGGCUCGUAGGCGGUCUGUUGCGUCGGGAGUGAAAAACUCAGGGGCUUAACCCUGAGCCUGCUUCCGAUACGGGCAGACUAGAGGUAUGCAGGGGAGAACGGAAUUCCUGGUGUAGCGGUGAAAUGCGCAGAUAUCAGGAGGAACACCCGUGGCGAAGGCGGCUCUCUGGGGACGGUACUGACGCUGAGACGCGAAAAGCGUGGGGGAGCGAACAGG
rnacentral:rRNA from 1 species